GACGUAGGGCGCGAGCGUUGUCCGGAUUUAUUGGGCGUAAAGAGCUCGUAGGCGGCUUGUCGCGUCGACUGUGAAAACCCGUGGCUUAACCAUGUGGUCUGCAGUCGAUACGGGCAGGCUAGAAUUCGGUAGGGGAGACUGGAAUUCCUGGUGUAGCGGUGAAAUGCGCAGAUAUCAGGAGGAACACCGGUGGCGAAGGCGGGUCUCUGGGCCGAUAUUGACGCUGAGGAGCGAAAGCGUGGGGAGCGAACAGG
rnacentral:rRNA from 1 species